rnacentral:rRNA from 1 species
GACGAACGCUGGCGGCGUGCUUAACACAUGCAAGUCGAGCGAUGAAGCUUCUUCGGAAGUGGAUUAGCGGCGGACGGGUGAGUAACACGUGGGUAACCUGCCUCAUAGAGGGGAAUAGCCUUCCGAAAGGAAGAUUAAUACCGCAUAAGAUUGUAAUAUCGCAUGAUAUAGCAAUUAAAGGAGUAAUCCGCUAUGAGAUGGACCCGCGUCGCAUUAGCUAGUUGGUGAGGUAACGGCUCACCAAGGCGACGAUGCGUAGCCGACCUGAGAGGGUGAUCGGCCACAUUGGGACUGAGACACGGCCCAGACUCCUACGGGAGGCAGCAGUGGGGAAUAUUGCACAAUGGGGGAAACCCUGAUGCAGCAACGCCGCGUGAGUGAUGACGGUCUUCGGAUUGUAAAGCUCUGUCUUCAGGGACGAUAAUGACGGUACCUGAGGAGGAAGCCACGGCUAACUACGUGCCAGCCGCCGCGGUAA